UACGUAGGGUGCGAGCGUUGUCCGGAAUUACUGGGCGUAAAGAGCUCGUAGGUGGUUUGUCGCGUUGUCCGUGAAAACUCACAACUCAAUUGUGGGCGUGCGGGCGAUACGGGCAGACUGGAGUACUGCAGGGGAGACUGGAAUUCCUGGUGUAGCGGUGGAAUGCGCAGACAUCAGGAGGAACACCGGUGGCGAAGGCGGGUCUCUGGGCAGUAACUGACGCUGAGGAGCGAAAGCGUGGGGAGCGAACAGG
rnacentral:rRNA from 1 species